ACAGAAUGUCGAAUCAGGUCCUUUUUGUACCUAUAAAGUUAAAUAUACAACUUUCAGCAACGGAUCUCUUGGCUCUCGCAUCGAUGAAGAACGCAGCGAAAUGCGAUAAGUAAUGUGAAUUGCAGAAUUCAGUGAAUCAUCGAAUCUUUGAACGCAUCUUGCGCUCCUUGGUAUUCUGAGGAGCAUGCCUGUUUGAGUGUCAUUUCAAGUUCUCAACCACAUCGAUUUUGAUGUGGCUUGGAUGGUGGGGGUUCUUUUUUGCAGGCUUCUGUAAAUAUGAAGUCGGCUCCCCUGAAAUGUAUUAGUGGUAAUCUGAGCUACUACAGGUGAGAUAAUUAUCUAUGCCUUGGUAUGCUGC
rnacentral:rRNA from 1 species